UCGAGAAUCUUCGGCAAUGGACGCAAGUCUGACCGAGCGACGCCGCGUGCGGGAUGAAGGCCUUCGGGUUGUAAACCGCUGUCAGUUGGGAGGAAGGCUCUGUGAAGAGCAGAGCUUGACCUAUCUUCAGAGGAAGUCCGGGCUAAGUUCGUGCCAGCAGCCGCGGUAAGACGAACCGGACGAACGUUAUUCGGAAUCAUUGGGCUUAAAGGGUGCGUAGGCGGUGCGGUAAGUUGGGUGUGAAAUCCCUCGGCUCAACCGAGGAAUUGCGCCCAAUACUGCCGUGCUCGAGGGAGACAGAGGUGAGCGGAACUGAUGGUGGAGCGGUGAAAUGCGUUGAUAUCAUCAGGAACACCAGUGGCGAAAGCGGCUCACUGGGUCUCUUCUGACGCUGAGGCACGAAAGCUAGGGUAGCGAACGGGAUUAGAUACCCCCGUAGUCC
rnacentral:rRNA from 1 species